AUUGAACGCUGGCGGCAGGCCUAACACACGCAAGUCGAGCGGAUGAAGGGAGCUUGCUCCUGGAUUCAGCGGCGGACGGGUGAGUAAUGCCUAGGAAUCUGCCUGGUAGUGGGGGAUAACGUCCGGAAACGGGCGCUAAUACCGCAUACGUCCAGAGGGAGAAAGGGGGGGAUCUUCGGACCUCCCGCUAUCAGAUGAGCCUAGGUCGGAUUAGCUAGUUGGUGGGGUAAAGGCCUACCAAGGCGACGAUCCGUAACUGGUCUGAGAGGAUGAUCAGUCACACUGGAACUGAGACACGGUCCAGACUCCUACGGGAGGCAGCAGUGGGGAAUAUUGGACAAAGGGCGAAAGCCUGAUCCAGCCAUGCCGCGUGUGUGAAGAAGGUCUUCGGAUUGUAAAGCACUUUAAGUUGGGAGGAAGGGCAGUAAGUUAAUACCUUGCUGGUUUGACGUUACCAACAGAAUAAGCACCGGCUAACUUCGUG
rnacentral:rRNA from 1 species